AUGAGGAGCUUGCUCUUCAAAUCGAGUGGCGGACGGGUGAGUAACGCGUGGGUAACCUGCCUCGUACUGGGGGAUAACAGUUAGAAAUAGCUGCUAAUACCGCAUAAGCGCACGGUUCCGCAUGGAACAGUGUGAAAAACUCCGGUGGUGUGAGAUGGACCCGCGUCUGAUUAGCUGGUUGGUGAGGUAACGGCUCACCAAGGCGACGAUCAGUAGCCGGCCUGAGAGGGUGAACGGCCACAUUGGGACUGAGACACGGCCCAAACUCC
rnacentral:rRNA from 2 species